ensembl:lncRNA
UCCUCGUGUGUGGACAUGCUUCAUUCUACAGUUACCCCAUUUGCUGCAAGUGAUAACAGCAUUACAUUUGUUUUGUUAUGCAAAAAAACAUUGUUCAUUGUAUGGGAAUGAUAAUGCAGAAAUAACGCGCAUUACAGUUGGCUACAUGAUUUUGUUUAUCUGAUUUAAAAAAUAUUUUUUAAAUCCCGUCAUUUGGUGGUAUUUUAAGUAGACAAUCUAUUUCAGUAUGUAAGCAGAGGCACUUUGAGGAGAACCAGCUAAAACGCGUCAGUUAAAUUCGUGCGGCAAACCUCGGUGUGGUCAGCAGCGACGGAAGAUGUAACUUUAUGUUUCAAAUUGGGGUUUAUACGGAUACAUUUCGGGUCUAGACGCGUUAUCCAUCGCAGCGCUUCAAGUUCGGAAAAUAUUACCAAGAAACAGAAUUUUUUUUUUAUCGUACCAGGACGAUGCGCACAACCCAUGAAGAUUUAAAAUAAUUGAGGACUUUAUAAAGAUGACCACAGAACGUGUAUGUGUUUCCAUUGGAGUGCUGCUGUUUGCCUUUUUGUCUUUCUCCAUUGUUCAAGGUCACACCACCAACCGGCCGAGUAUGAACCCAGCGGAGGGCAGUGGAGCUGGUUUCAACGUGGGCGGUCUGAAGUCUGUCCUGCAGAACGCCGUGUCCCCAGCCUUCGGCGCCACCAUCAUCAUCAUCAUCACUGUUAUCGUGUCAGGGAGCGCCUACCUCUGUUUCCUCAAGUACAUCUGUGCAGGCUGCUGCAAACCCACACAGGUGGCCCCGGUCACACAACUAGACCCAAACAAGAGUGAGGAGCAGGUGUAGCGGAGUCUGUCAAGUUUCAAGUUUUUAUUGUCACGUGUACUAGUACAAUGAAAUUCCUUUCUUGCUUGUUCUUUUCCAACAAUGCAGUAAUCAAUAUCAGUAAUACUAUAAAAUGAAUUUUAAAAAGUUAAGUGGAACAAAAUCACAAAAUAAGAACACAAGAAAGUAAGUAAGCUAUAUACAGGGUCAGUUCCAGAGUUAGUGCCAAUACUAUUGACAAUGUGUAGGGCAGUGGCUACGCAUCAUUCAGGGCAGAGACCCAACUGUUUGGAGGCACCCCAUUUUUUUGCCUGUUUUGCAUGUUAUUUUGGCAUUAAUAAGUGUCACAUAUCAGUUUGCAAACAAUGUAAAACAUAAAUAAUCAUUGAGUUAAUAAAGCCGCAUACCAACAUG